rnacentral:lncRNA from 1 species
AUGGAACCAAUCCAGUGCUUCUUCUUUUAGUGAAAGGGAGAAAACUCUACACCACACCAGCUCGUCUGACGAAUAUACAGUCAUGGCAUCUACGAAAGAUCGCAGGUGUUUAACUGGAUUAGACGAGCCUCCAUAUUUCUCCAUCGAUGGCAGCACUUUAUUCUCUGGUAUGAUCGCCUGCAUUACCCUUGGCGUGAAA